UACGGGGGGGGCAAGCGUUGUUCGGAAUUACUGGGCGUAAAGGGCUCGUAGGCGGCCAACUAAGUCGGACGUGAAAUCCCUCGGCUCAACCGGGGAACUGCGUCCGAUACUGGAUGGCUUGAGUUCGGGAGAGGGAUGCGGAAUUCCAGGUGUAGCGGUGAAAUGCGUAGAUAUCUGGAGGAACACCGGUGGCCGAAGGCGGCUUCCUGGACCGACACUGACGCUGAGGCGCGAAAGCCAGGGGAGCAAACGGG
rnacentral:rRNA from 1 species